UCUGGGUAGCUGGAACUACAGGCAUGUGUUACCACAUCCAUUCAAGGCUCAUGAGAAUUUAGUACUGCACAGGAAUUCUGGUCAGCCAACACAUAUUUGCAAACAUGCAUAGAGUUUAUAUUUUAAGUUAGUUGUUGACUUCUAGCAAUAGCAGCCCCCAAAUUGCCUACGUAAGAUAACUGGAAGGAAUUAUUUGCCCCAAAACAAUUUCUAGGUCCACACUGUUAUGCGAGGCGCAGCGAGAUACACACAUGGAAGCUCUAUGUGAUUUUUGGCUCUUAAGAAGUUAACAUGCUAAAGAGACAAAACUAACAUAUACAAAACACUUUGAUUACUGCAGUGAGUAUAGUAUGGAUUCAGAAUGGGGAAAGACUUCUGUGAGGUAAAGCAACUGGAAGAAGCCUGGGGAGGAGGUAGAUCUUGACCUGAACCUGGACCUUGAAGGAUAAGAUUUAAAUUUCAGUGAAGAGAACUGAAAAGAGCCCUCUAAUGGGGGGGCGGGGGGAGGGGAGCUUCACUGGGAAAUCAGGAAGCUAGGGAAGAAAAUAUGUGCAUGUUUCUGUGUGUAUUCAAAGGGGGCUUCCUGGUUUGUGAAUGACAGUAAGUAUUCAGAUCCAUACAUAGAUCAGUAGUAUGUUACAGUAGCAUGGAAGCCAUUUGGAACAUUUAGAUUGUAGUGUGAACUUUUGAACCACUGAGUGUUGUGGAUGAACAGAAUGAGACAGCAAAAGUGGUAUUUGUAAAACACU
rnacentral:lncRNA from 1 species